AUGAACGCUGGCGGCGUGCCUAAUACAUGCAAGUCGAGCGAACAGAUGAGGAGCUUGCUCCUCUGACGUUAGCGGCGGACGGGUGAGUAACACGUGGAUAACCUACCUAUAAGACUGGGAUAACUUCGGGAAACCGGAGCUAAUACCGGAUAAUAUAUUGAACCGCAUGGUUCAAUAGUGAAAGACGGUUUUGCUGUCACUUAUAGAUGGAUCCGCGCCGCAUUAGCUAGUUGGUAAGGUAACGGCUUACCAAGGCAACGAUGCGUAGCCGACCUGAGAGGGUGAUCGGCCACACUGGAACUGAGACACGGUCCAGACUCCUACGGGAGGCAGCAGUAGGGAAUCUUCCGCAAUGGGCGAAAGCCUGACGGAGCAACGCCGCGUGAGUGAUGAAGGUCUUCGGAUCGGAAAACUCUGUUAUUAGGGAAGAACAAAUGUGUAAGUAACUAUGCACGUCUUGACGGUACCUAAUCAGAAAGCCACGGCUAACUACG
rnacentral:rRNA from 1 species